UAUUUGAAGGGAAAAGCAAAAAACCUCGCCAAAGUUGAAGAUUCUAUAAUUGCUGGAAAUUUGACGGAAGAAACAUCUCACUUCACAUUGUACUACUUUGCACCAAAAGUACGUACCCGGAAAAGAGCUCCAAGAAGAUAUGAUGAUGGUGGUGUCGCGCCAAUAUAUGCAGUUGCUGGUGUUCCAGACAUCUUUUGCCAGAUUGGGUGAUUCGGUGGGAAAUUGAAAGAGGUUUGGUGGUCGAGUGAUGAAGACGCACAUUUUGCACACGCUUAUAUUCUACUCAAUUGCGAGGAUCCAUUGAUGCGUUAUUUUGAAAGCCUAUUUGUUUCUCAAGUCAAAGAAACAAUCCCAGAUAUAUCCAAAAGGGAGGAAGACAGAAGGAAAGAUCAACACUUUAUUAAGUGGUUGAAGGGUCAGGUUGAUUAUGACGAUCCAGAUUACCCCACAUGGUUUCAUGAAGUAGUUCAAGGUCCAGUUGCAAUGGUCACCACAUCACCGAUGUAUUUCACACGAGGAUUUACUUUU